UAGGGAAUCUUCGGCAAUGGGGGGAACCCUGACCGAGCAACGCCGCGUGAGUGAAGAAGGUUUUCGGAUCGUAAAGCUCUGUUGUUAAGGAAGAACGAGUGUGAGAAUGGAAAGUUCAUACUGUGACGGUACUUAACCAGAAAGGGACGGCUAACUACGUGCCAGCAGCCGCGGUAAUACGUAGGUCCCGAGCGUUGUCCGGAUUUAUUGGGCGUAAAGCGAGCGCAGGCGGUUAGAAAAGUCUGAAGUGAAAGGCAGUGGCUCAACCAUUGUAGGCUUUGGAAACUGUUUAACUUGAGUGCAGAAGGGGAGAGUGGAAUUCCAUGUGUAGCGGUGAAACGCGUAGAUAUAUGGAGGAACACCGGUGGCGAAAGCGGCUCUCUGGUCUGUAACUGACGCUGAGGCUCGAAAGCGUGGGGAGCGAACAGG
rnacentral:rRNA from 1 species